UGGAGAACCAUCAUUGAGUGCAGCGUUGAUGAAAUCCUCCAUUUUGUGCUAUUAAACUGUUACCAACCCUUUAUGGGGCAUGGCAUCAUUUCACCAGCGCUGCAUUCAAUCAUGUUUUUC
rnacentral:pre_miRNA from 13 species